ACCAACUUAUUAGUUAUGCUACAGGUGUUAAGAAGGGUGAAGGAUGAAUUUCCCUUGCUUAAAAAAAUAAUCUUUUUACUCUGGCAAGAAUAGCAAAAGUUAGUGUCAAAGAGCAUGUAUAUGUAAGUCUGUAGCCAGUGGACUUAAAGCCAGCAUCCUCAUCAAGAAUCUUAGAAUAAACUCUCAAAGACGAAAAGAAAAAGAGAAAAAAAUGAGAGUAUUGGGCAUCACGUUUUUCUUCUUGGGAAUCUUCAUCAUGCAGAGUAUGGUCGUGGCACCACAAGAAAUCUUUGACAGCAUUUGUAAUGAAGACCUUGGUGGAAAAUGCACAGAGAAAGAUAAUAUUUGUGGGACUCCUGAACAUGAGGACUUGUGUGGGGUGAAUUAUAAGUGCUGUGUCCCUUCAGUUCAGACGCACCCAUAAAUUAGCGGCAGCAACUUGUAGAGGAGGGAGAAAAAGAAAAAGAGAAAAGAAGAAAGAUGUGCAAGAUAGGAUAAUGAUGUGGGUGAAGAAAAUAAUGUAAAUGUAUUUCUACAGAUAUGCAAAGAUUAGGAUGUAUAUGUUCCCAAGCAAUUCAGUAUGUAUAAAUAUGACAAGAAGUAAUGAUUAUGAUUCAGUAUGAUUUGAGCUGAGAUUUGCUUAGUAUGUUGUACCUGAUUAUCCAGAAUAAUAUUCUAUUGCACUCUCACAGUG